GCUUACGGCCAUACCAACCUGGCUAUGCCCGAUCUCGUCUGAUCUCGGAAGCUAAGCAGGUUUGAGCCUGGUUAGUACUUGGAUGGGAGACCGCCUGGGAAUACCAGGUGCUGUAAGCU
ensembl:rRNA 5S_rRNA 5S ribosomal RNA